UACGAAGGGGCUAGCGUUGCUCGGAAUCACUGGGCGUAAAGGGUGCGUAGGCGGGUCUUUAAGUCAGGGGUGAAAUCCUGGAGCUCAACUCCAGAACUGCCUUUGAUACUGAAGAUCUUGAGUUCGGGAGAGGUGAGUGGAACUGCGAGUGUAGAGGUGAAAUUCGUAGAUAUUCGCAAGAACACCAGUGGCGAAGGCGGACUCACUGGCCCGAUACUGACGCUGAGGCACGAAAGCGUG
rnacentral:rRNA from 1 species